rnacentral:tRNA from 1 species
GGUCCUUUGGCAGAGAUGGUAAUGCGCCGGUCUGAAAAGCCGGAUAUCUCAGUUCGAUUCUGAGGGGGACCAC